rnacentral:rRNA from 1 species
GACGAACGCUGGCGGCGUGCUUAACACAUGCAAGUCGAACGAGAGGAGAAGGAAGCUUGCUUCUUUCAAAUCUAGUGGCAAACGGGUGAGUAACACGUAAACAACCUGCCUUCAGGAUGGGGACAACAGACGGAAACGACUGCUAAUACCGAAUACGUUCCUUAGGUCGCAUGACUUUAGGAAGAAAGGGUGGCCUCUACUUGUAAGCUAUCGCCUGAAGAGGGGUUUGCGUCUGAUUAGGUAGUUGGUGAGGUAACGGCCCACCAAGCCGACGAUCAGUAGCCGGUCUGAGAGGAUGAACGGCCACACUGGAACUGAGACACGGUCCAGACUCCUACGGGAGGCAGCAGUGGGGAAUAUUGCACAAUGGGCGAAAGCCUGAUGCAGCAACGCCGCGUGAGGGAAGACGGUUUUCGGUAUGUAAAGCUCUAUCAGCAGGGAAGAAGAAAUGACGGUACCUGACUAAGAAGCCCCGGCUAACUACGUG